rnacentral:rRNA from 1 species
GAGAUAACUUUCUCUAUGGAACUCGAUAAAAUAGCCCCGUAACUUCGGGAGAAGGGGCGCCUCCUCACAAAGGGGGUCUUAGUGACUAGGCCCGGGCGACUGCUUACCAAAAACACAAGUCUCGGCAAAGUCAUAAGACCAUGUAUGGGGGCUGACGCUUGCCCAGUGCCGGAAGGUCAAGGAAGUUGGUGACCUGAUGAUAGGGGAGCCGACGACCGAAGCCCCGGUGAACGGCGGCCGUAACUAUAACGAUCCUAAGGCAGCAAAAUUCCUUGUCAGGUAAUUUCUGACCUGCACAAAAGUCAUAACGAUCUAGGCACUGUCUCGGAGAGAGGCUC